ACCUGACUGGCUCAGUCGGUAGAGCACAUGACUCUUGAUCUCAGGGUUUUGAGUUCAAGCCCCACGUUGGGUA
rnacentral:tRNA from 1 species